UACCUAACAGCUAGCCCACCCCCACAAUUCAACGAACCCCUGUUAAUAACCCCUAAUACCCCAGUAUUUAUUUUAAACAAACCAUUUUCCCCCCUUAGUAUAGGCGAUAGAAAAGGGCCUACGGCGCAACAGAAAAAGUACCGCAAGGGAACGCUGAAAGAGAAGUGAAAUAACUCAAUAAAGCCUAAAAAAGCAGAGAUUCAAGCUCGUACCUUUUGCAUCAUGAUUAAGCAAGUGUAACCCAAGCAAAGCGUACUUUAGUUUGACAUCCCGAAACUAGGUGAGCUACUCCAAGACAGCCUAUCAAUAGGGCACACCCUUCUCUGUGGCAAAAGAGUGGGGGGAGCUUUGAGUAGAGGCGAUAAACCUACCGAACCUAGUUAUAGCUGGUUGUCCAAGAAAUGAAUAGAAGUUCAGCCUUUCGGCUUCUUUUUUCACCUUAGUCUAACCCCUGUAGAUGCACUAAAGAAACCGAAAGAGUUAGUCAAAGGGGGUACAGCCCCUUUGAAUCAAGACACAACUUUGCCAGGAGGGUAAAGAUCAUAAUAACUAAAGCUAAAUGUUUAGGUGGGCCUAAAAGCAGCCAUCCCCUUAGAAAGCGUUAAAGCUCAUACAUGUAGUAUUCUUCUUAUCCUGAUCAUCAAAUCUUACCCCCCUGCCCGUACUGGACCAUCCCAUGCCUACAUGGAAGUGACUAUGCUGAAAUGAGUAAUAAGAGGGCUAUCGGCUCUCUCCCUGCACACAUGUAAAUCAGAACGGACAACCCACCGAACCUUAACGGCCCCAAAUAAAGAGGGCAGUGGAUUAUAGACCAAAAAACUAGAAAAGUGUCCAAAAACAAACCGUUAAACCCACACAGGUGUGCCCCUGGGGAAAGACUAGAAGAAAGAGAAGGAACUCGGCAAACAUAAAGCCUCGCCUGUUUACCAAAAACAUCGCCUCUUGUAAACUCAAAAAAUAAGAGGUCCCGCCUGCCCUGUGACUAUUUGUUCAACGGCCGCGGUAUUUUGACCGUGCGAAGGUAGCGCAAUCACUUGUCUUUUAAAUGAAGACCCGUAUGAAUGGCAUAACGAGGGCUUAACUGUCUCCUCUCUCAGGUCAAUGAAAUUGAUCUUCCCGUGCAGAAGCGGGGAUACAAACAUAAGACGAGAAGACCCUAUGGAGCUUUAGACGCUAAGGCGGCCCACAUUUAUUACCCCUAAACAAGGGGCUAAACCAAGUGAGCCCCGCCCUAAUGUCUUUGGUUGGGGCGACCGCGGGGUAUUACAAAACCCCCAUGUGGAGCGGGAAUACCCCUCCUACAGCUAAGAGCUACAGCUCUAGUAACCAGAAAUUCUGACCAAAAAGAUCCGGCAAUGCCGAUCAACGAACCGAGUUACCCUAGGGAUAACAGCGCAAUCCUCUUUUAGAGUCCAUAUCGACAAGGGGGUUUACGACCUCGAUGUUGGAUCAGGACAUCCUAAUGGUGCAGCCGCUAUUAAGGGUUCGUUUGUUCAACGAUUAAAGUCCUACGUGAUCUGAGUUCAGACCGGAGUAAUCCAGGUCAGUUUCUAUCUAUGAUGUGAUUUUUUCUAGUACGAAAGGACCGAAAAGAAGAGGCCAAUGCCACAGGCACGCCUCCCCCCACCUAGUGAAAUCAACUAAAGUAGGCAAAAGGGCAUGCCCUUUUGCCUAAGAAAUAAGGCUU
rnacentral:rRNA from 1 species